rnacentral:rRNA from 1 species
CANANACAACUCUCAGCAACGGAUAUCUUGGCUCUUGCAACGAUGAAGAACGCAGCGAAAUGCGAUA